rnacentral:rRNA from 1 species
GGGUCUGCGCUCUCCUUAGAAUCUGUUGGCUGGGGUAAUGGCCUACCAAGGCGACGAUGGGAUAGCCGCGCCUGAGUAGGGGCGCCCGGCCUCACAUGGGACUGAGUAUACGGCCCAGACUUCCUACGGGAGGCUAGCUCGUCGARAAGCUUCGGUUAUAUGGACGACAGUCUGACCGACCGACGCCUCGUGAGCUAUGAAGGCCCUAGUGUGUCGUAAAGCUCUGUCAGGAGGGAAUAAAUGCCUGUGAUUCAAUACCCGCAGGAGUUGAAGGUACCUCCAGAGGYAAGCGCCGGCUAACUACGAGCCAGCWGCCGCMGCAAUACYCAGGGCGCAAACGUUYGUUCGGAUUCACUG